GAUAAACGCUGGCGGCGUGCAUAACACAUGCAAGUCGAACGAAGUGGCGAACGGGUGAGUAACACGUGCGUAAACUGCCUUACACAAGGGGAUAGCCUUUGGAAACGCAGAAUACUACCCUAUAGUGUCAGAUGGACUUGCGUCUGAUUAGCUUGUUGGUGAGAUAAAGGCCCACCAAGGCAACGAGCAGUAGCCGGCUUGAGAGAGUGUACGGCCACAUUGGGACGGAGACACGGCCCAAACUCUACGGUGGGCAGAAGUGGGGAAAUGUGCACAAUGGGGGAAAACCUGAUGCAGCGACGCCGCGUGAUUUAUAAGGCCUGCGGGUUGUAAAAAUCUUUUUUAGGGGAGGCAGUACCAUAAGAAUAAGGUCCGGCUAAAUACGUGCCAGCAGCCGCGGUAAUUC
rnacentral:rRNA from 1 species